rnacentral:rRNA from 1 species
UACGUAGGCAGCGAGCGUUGUUCGGAGUUACUGGGCGUAAAGAGUGCGUAGGCGGUGUUCCAAGUCUGUUGUGAAAUCUCCCGGCUCAACUGGGAGGGUGCGCCGAAUACUGAAUGACUAGAGUGCGGGAGAGGAAAGUGGAAUUCCUGGUGUAGCGGUGAAAUGCGUAGAUAUCAGGAGGAACACCGGUGGUGUAGACGGCUUUCUGGACCGUAACUGACGCUGAGACACGAAAGCGUGGGUAGCAAACAGG